UACGGUCACAUUUCGUUGAAACACCGGUUCCUGUACGAUCACCAAAGUUAAGCAACGUCGAGCAUGGACAGUGCCUACAUGGGUGACCGCUUCGGAAUACCAGGUGCUGUAA